rnacentral:pre_miRNA from 13 species
GACCGUACGGGAUAAUCGAUUAUCCCGUGCGGUUUGGUUAUACAGACCGCACGGGAUAUUCUAUUAUCCCGUGCGGUG